UGCCGCGUGAGUGAAGAAGGCCUUCGGGUUGUAAAGCUCUUUUGUCAGGGAAGAAACGGGUGAGGCUAAUAUCCUUGCCUAAUGACGGUACCUGAAGAAUAAGCACCGGCUAACUACGUGCCAGCAGCCGCGGUAAUACGUAGGGUGCAAGCGUUAAUCGGAAUUACUGGGCGUAAAGCGUGCGCAGGCGGUUGUGCAAGACAGAUGUGAAAUCCCCGGGCUUAACCUGGGAAUUGCAUUUGUGACUGCACAGCUAGAGUGUGUCAGAGGGGGGUAGAAUUCCACGUGUAGCAGUGAAAUGCGUAGAUAUGUGGAGGAAUACCGAUGGCGAAGGCAGCCCCCUGGGAUAACACUGACGCUCAUGCACGAAAGCGUGGGGAGCAAACAGGAUUAGAUACCCUGGUAGUCCACGCCCUAAACGAUGUCUACUAGUUGUCGGGUCUUAAUUGACUUGGUAACGCAGCUAACGCGUGAAGUAGACCGCCUGGGGAGUACGGUCGCAAGAUUAAAACUCAAAGGAAUUGACGGGGACCCGCACAAGCGGUGGAUGAUGUGGAUUAAUUCGAUGCAACGCGAAAAACCUUACCUACCCUUGACAUGGUCGGAAUCCUGAAGAGAUUU
rnacentral:rRNA from 1 species